rnacentral:rRNA from 1 species
CCUACGGGCGGCAGCAGUGAGGAAUAUUGGUCAAUGGGCGAGAGCCUGAACCAGCCAAGUAGCGUGAAGGAUGACGGCUCUAUGGUUUGUAAACUUCUUUUAUAAGGGAAUAAAGUGAGGCACGUGUGCCUUUUUGUAUGUACCUUAUGAAUAAGCAUCGGCUAACUCCGUGCCAGCAGCCGCGGUAAUACGGAGGAUGCGAGCGUUAUCCGGAUUUAUUGGGUUUAAAGGGAGCGUAGGUGGUUUGUUAAGUCAGCGGUGAAAGUUUGUGGCUCAACCAUAAAAUUGCAGUUGAAACUGGCAGACUUGAGUACAGUUGAGGUAGGCGGAAUGCGUGGUGUAGCGGUGAAAUGCAUAGAUAUCACGCAGAACUCCGAUUGCGAAGGCAGCUUACUAAACUACAACUGACACUGAUGCUCGAAAGCGUGGGGAUCAAACAGGAUUAGAUACCCGAGUAGUC